CAACUCUGGAGAGGGGGGGUAACACCUCCACCGAAGGGGCAAGCGUUCGUAUAGGUUUUGCGUGGAAACCUUUAAACGUGAAAACUCUCAGGUCUACGACAGAGCGGGGA
rnacentral:ncRNA from 1 species